rnacentral:rRNA from 1 species
CCUACGGGAGGCUGCAGUGGGGAAUAUUGCACAAUGGGGGAAACCCUGAUGCAGCGACGCCGCGUGAGUGAAGAAGUAAUGCGAUAUGUAAAGCUCUAUCAGCAGGGAAGAAAAUGACGGUACCUGAGGAAGAAGCCCCGGCUAACUACGUGCCAGCAGCCGCGGUAAGACGUAGGGGGCAAGCGUGAUCCGGAUUUACUGGGUGUCAAGGGAGCGUAGACGGCAGUGCACGUCUGGAGUGAAAGGCGGGGGCUCAACCCCCGGACUGCUCGGGAAACUGGACGGCGGGAGUGCAGGAGCGGUCCGUGUACUUCCUCUUGUAGCGGUGCACUGCG